ACCUGCCUGUAAGACUGGGAUAACUUCGGGAAACCGGAGCUAAUACCGGAUAAUCCUUUCCCUCACAUGAGGGAAAGCUGAAAGACGGUUUCGGCUGUCACUUACAGAUGGGCCCGCGGCGCAUUAGCUAGUUGGUGAGGUAACGGCUCACCAAGGCAACGAUGCGUAGCCGACCUGAGAGGGUGAUCGGCCACACUGGGACUGAGACACGGCCCAGACUCCUACGGGAGGCAGCAGUAGGGAAUCUUCCGCAAUGGACGAAAGUCUGACGGAGCAACGCCGCGUGAACGAUGAAGGCUUUCGGGUCGUAAAGUUCUGUUGUUAGGGAAGAACAAGUACCGGAGUAACUGCCGGUACCUUGACGGUACCUAACCAGAAAGCCACGGCUAACUACGUGCCAGCAGCCGCGGUAAUACGUAGGUGGCAAGCGUUGUCCGGAAUUAUUGGGCGUAAAGCGCGCGCAGGCGGUUCCUUAAGUCUGAUGUGAAAGCCCCCGGCUCAACCGGGGAGGGUCAUUGGAAACUGGGGAACUUGAGUGCAGAAGAGGAGAGCGGAAUUCCACGUGUAGCGGUGAAAUGCGUAGAGAUGUGGAGGAACACCAGUGGCGAAGGCGGCUCUCUGGUCUGUAACUGACGCUGAGGCGCGAAAGCGUGGGGAGCGAACAGGAUUAGAUACCCUGGUAGUCCACGCCGUAAACGAUGAGUGCUAAGUGUUAGAGGGUUUCCGCCCUUUAGUGCUGCAGCAAACGCAUUAAGCACUCCGCCUGGGGAGUACGGCCGCAAGGCUGAAACUCAAAGGAAUUGACGGGGGCCCGCACAAGCGGUGGAGCAUGUGGUUUAAUUCGAAGCAACGCGAAGAACCUUACCAGGUCUUGACAUCCUCUGACAACCCUAGAGAUAGGGCGUUCCCCUUCGGGGGACAGAGUGACAGGUGGUGCAUGGUUGUCGUCAGCUCGUGUCGUGAGAUGUUGGGUUAAGUCCCGCAACGAGCGCAACCCUUGAUCUUAGUUGCCAGCAUUCAGUUGGGCACUCUAAGGUGACUGCCGGUGACAAACCGGAGGAAGGUGGGGAUGACGUCAAAUCAUCAUGCCCCUUAUGACCUGGGCUACACACGUGCUACAAUGGAUGGAACAAAGGGCCGCAAAACCGCGAGGUCGAGCCAAUCCCAUAAAUCCAUUCUCAGUUCGGAUUGCAGGCUGCAACUCGCC
rnacentral:rRNA from 1 species